rnacentral:rRNA from 1 species
ACGAACGCUGGCGGCGCGCCUCACCCAUGCAAGUCGCACGAGCGAGAGAGAGCUUGCUUUCUCGAGCGAGUGGCGAACGGGUGAGUAACGCGUGAGGAACCUGCCUCAAAGAGGGGGACAACAGUUGGAAACGACUGCUAAUACCGCAUAAGCCCACGACCCGGCAUCGGGUAGAGGGAAAAGGAGCAAUCCGCUUUGAGAUGGCCUCGCGUCCGAUUAGCUAGUUGGUGAGGUAACGGCCCACCAAGGCGACGAUCGGUAGCCGGACUGAGAGGUUGAACGGCCACAUUGGGACUGAGACACGGCCCAGACUCCUACGGGAGGCAGCAGUGGGGAAUAUUGCACAAUGGGGGAAACCCUGAUGCAGCGACGCCGCGUGGAGGAAGAAGGUCUUCGGAUUGUAAACUCCUGUUGUUGAGGAAGAUAAUGACGGUACUCAACAAGGAAGUGACGGCUAACUACGUG